rnacentral:rRNA from 1 species
AUGGACGACGCGGCGCCGCUCGUGUCCGAGCCGCCGGCCAGGGACUGGUCGCUGCUGCCCCUCGACGUUCUCUCAUUGAUCUUCCCCCGGGUCGGCGCCGUCGACGUCCUCAUGGGCGCCGGCCUCGCGUGCCGCUCGUGGCUCGAGGCGGCCAAGUUGCCAGAACUGUGGCGAGCCGUGGACAUGGACAAACACCAGGUCGUGUUCUGGAAGGACGAUGAUGUCGUGUGCGCAAUGGCGAAGGCGGCCGUCGACCGUUCCGACGGACAGCUUCGGUCGUUCGCCGGCAAGCUAUUUGUCACCGAUGAGCUGAUGAAGUAUAUAGUGGAAAGGUGUUUUUUCUUCCGUUACUUAGCUUUCUGCUCGAAAAUUUAA